rnacentral:lncRNA from 1 species
GGCCUGGUUUCCCACAAGCUUAAUGCGAAGAGGGAAACGAAAGCAAGGCCCAGAGUUGCUAAUCUGGAUUCUCCGACCACACCUGGUCUUUCAGAGCUCCUUUCUCCACCCCCGUGCUUGUCAUUUCAGCAUUCUGCCUUUCCCCUUGAGGAGGAAGAUCAACAAAGUCCCAGGGCUAGAAGUAUGAAGUAAAAAGGAAGGCUUAAAAAGAGUGUCUUCACAAGGGCCUUU